rnacentral:rRNA from 1 species
UGCAGAGGUCUCAAGCGUUGUUCGGAUUCAUUGGGCGUAAAGGGUGCGUAGGCGGCGCGGUAAGUCGGGUGUGAAAUCUUGGAGCUUAACUCCGAAACUGCAUUCGAUACUGCCGUGCUUGAGGACUGGAGAGAAGACUGGAAUUUACGGUGUAGCGGUGAAAUGCGUAGAUAUCGUAAGGAAGACCAGUGGCGAAGGCGGGUCUCUGGACAGUUCCUGACGCUGAAGCACGAAGGCCAGGGGAGCAAACGGG